rnacentral:rRNA from 1 species
CAGCCGCCGCGGGAAUACCGAGGGUGCAAGCGUUAAUCGGAAUUACUGGGCGUAAAGCGCGCGUAGGUGGUUUGUUAAGUUGGAUGUGAAAUCCACGGGCUCAACCUGGGAACUGCAUCCAAAACUGGCAAGCUAGAGUAUGGUAGAGGGUGGUGGAAUUUCCUGUGUAGCGGUGAAAUGCGUAGAUAUAGGAAGGAACACCAGUGGCGAAGGCGACCACCUGGACUGAUACUGACACUGAGGUGCGAAAGCGUGGGGAGCAAACAGGAUUAGAUACCCGAGUAGUCCCUGUCUCUUAUAC